GUUGAAACCCCAGUUCCUGUAUGGUCAUCGAAGUUAAGCAGUGUCGAGCUAGGUCAGUACUUAGAUGGGUGACCGCUUGGGAAUAUCAGGUGCUGUAA